AGCUGACGGGCGGGCCCUUCCGGAGGCGCCGCGCCUGGACCGUGGCCGCAGGGGUUCCAGUCUCGAUCAUCAGUGAAGUCCUUCCACAUCCAUGGGGCGUCCACCAACUAGGAGCUUAAUCAACACAACGCUGUGGCCUCUCCAGCUCAGGGACGUGCCUUUCCCGUGUCUUCUUCUCACACACAAACGUAGCCUGCAAGGAAGGUCAGGUUCAAUGCACGGAAUCUACCCUGCUGCCCGCUAGGAGGUCAUAUGUGUAUCACAGACCCGCAGAGAAUGCUCUCCACAGUACAUGAAGCGCGGUACAAAUGGAAUGAGUGUAACGGGCAUUCUCUGUUUGAAAAAAGUUAUCCCAAUUGAAUAGUCGGUAAUUUCUCUUUAUUGUAACCCAAUAGAUCACAAAAUGCAACCUGAGGUUUAAGCUGAGGGGUGGGGCGUUUGCAGAGGGCUGUGUGGUGGAGGUUAGGUUAGGUUUGCAGACGGCUGUGUGGUGGAGGUUAGGUUAGGUUUGCAGAGGACUGUGUGGUGGAGGUUAGGUUAGGUUUACAGAGGGCUGUGUAGUGUGGAGGUUAGGUUAGGUUUGCAGAGGGCUGUGGUGGAGGUUAGGGUCGGUUUGCAGAAGGCUGUGGUGGAGGGUAGGUCACGUUUGUAGAGGGCUGUGUAAUGGAGGUUACGUUAGGUUUACAGAAGGCUGUGUGGUGGAGGUGGGGCCUUCUCCCUGCCCCACGGUGGUCCCAUGCAGCCCGCAAAACACCCAUGUUCGGCACGGGUCCAGUGACCUCAGCAGGGAGGCAGCUCCCUGAUUACAAGACCAACUUUUGUUCUUGGACCAAAGCUGAUUUUGCCUUCUCUGUAGGAUGAUUGCGCAAAAGGUCACCAGAGUCAUUCUGAAAGCAGCAGGAGUUCUGAGGCUUCUGUUCGCUCCAAUUUACUUAACAAAGGGCAUUCAGGUGGAUUUGUUCAGGCUGUGCUUUAUGAUUCUCUGAAAAUUAAAAAUCCUUCCUGUGAUGUAACCAUGUGGCAGACGGAGAAUCUGCCUCAAUGUAGGAGUUAAAGAUUUGAACUCCAAGUUCAUUUCUGAGUCGUUUGGAUUCUGUAAUUAUUCAUCCUUUUUGACUUUGUUUUACUUUGCAUUAUCAAAAUGCAUAAAGUGGAGACUGGACGGUGGAAAUCCUGCAGGGCACCGAGGCACCUAACGUCAAGGCUUCAGUCCGAAUCGGUCCAAGCAGAGGCCACUCAGGAAAGCAACUGUGCGUGGGACUCCGGUGCCGCACGGCCUGGCACUUCGUCUUCCGUGACUCGCCUGUUUCACGAGUGGGAUCCCAAGCCCAAUACGACAGCCAGGGCAUUGUCCUCACUGACAGCAGGUGGUCGAUCUCAAGCCCAAUACCACAGCCGGGGCGCUGUCCUCACUGACAGCAGGUGGUCACUGGGGAGCAUGCUACUGAGGUGCUGUUCAUCUCCAGGAAAUUAGAUUCUUAACAUCACCUCUCCACGACCUCAGAACUGAGCCCCCACCUCCUACAUUUGGGUUAACGACACCUCUCCACGACCUCAGAACUGAUCCCCCACCUCCUACAUUUGGGUUAACGACCCCUCUCCACGGCCUCAGAACUGAUCCCCCACCUCCUACAUUUGGGUUAACGACACCUCUCCACGACCUCAGAACUGAGCCCCCACCUCCUACAUUUGGGUUAACGACACCUCUCCACGGCCUCAGAACUGAGCCCCCACCUCCUACAUUUGGGUUAACGACACCUCUCCACGGCCUCAGAACUGAGCCCCCACCUCCUACAUUUGGGUUAACGACACCUCUCCACGACCUCAGAACUGAUCCCCCACCUCCUACAUUUGGGUUAACGACACCUCUCCACGGCCUCAGAACUGAGCCCCCACCUCCUACAUUUGGGUUAACGACACCUCUCCACGGCCUCAGAACUGAGCCCCCACCUCCUACAUUUGGGUUAACGACACCUCUCCACGGCCUCAGAACUGAGCCCCCACCUCCUACAUUUGGGUUAACGACAUCUCUCCACGGCCUCAGAACUGAGCCCCCACCUCCUACAUUUGGGUUAACGACCCCUCUCCACGGCCUCAGAACUGAGCCCCCACCUCCUACAUUUGGGUUAACGACACCUCUCCACGGCCUCAGAACUGAGCCCCCACCUCCUACAUUUGGGUUAACGACAUCUCUCCACGGCCUCAGAACUGAGCCCCCACCUCCUACAUUUGGGUUAACGACACCUCUCCACGGCCUCAGAACUGAGCCCCCACCUCCUACAUUUGGGUUAACGACACCUCUCCACGGCCUCAGAACUGAGCCCCCACCUCCUACAUUUGGGUUAACGACAUCUCUCCACGGCCUCAGAACUGAGCCCCCACCUCCUACAUUUGGGUUAACGACCCCUCUCCACGGCCUCAGAACUGAGCCCCCACCUCCUACAUUUGGGUUAACGACACCUCUCCACGGCCUCAGAACUGAGCCCCCACCUCCUACAUUUGGGUUAACGACACCUCUCCACGACCUCAGAACUGAGCCCCCACCUCCUACAUUUGGGCUGUUUCUCAAAUAAGACAAACAUCAGCCAUGAAAGGAAUCAGAAUGAGGCAGUAAACUCAGAAAGAGUCCUUGAAGCCCAGCUGUGGGUGAAGGGCCCGGGACGUGCUGUCUCAUAGCUGUGAGCCACCUCCUAGGAGACAAACCAGGUCUCUGUGCCGUUUCUUCUCACUCCAUCAGCCAGCUCCUGUGCACCGCAGUCCCUCUAGAGAGCAUCGGCCACGGGGGCCUGCAGAGAGAGGAGCUUCCUUGAAAAGCGCCCCGCUGCAUGGCCUCUGUGCCCACCUGCUGGUGGCAGUGAAUCAGCCUGGAAGCUGGGCUGACCUGCGCUUCAGAACUCAGAGCUCCGACGGAGCUGGAGGCCGUGCUGGUACAAUUGAGGCGCUUUCAGAAGAAGACGCUCCCUUUCAGAAGCUGCUCUCCUCCUGCUGAAGAAGGGGGAGCCGGGUGGCAGUGGGGAGCCGGGUGACAGGGACGUGCCAGCUCACAGGGCUGCCAAGACCCUCACUCUGACCCCGGUGGGAUGUGUGGUCAUCGGCGGAUGGCGGGGACAGGGCUACCGAGACCCUCAACCUGAGCCCGGUGGGAUGUGUGGUCAUCGGCGGAUGGCGGGGACAGGGCUACCGAGACCCUCAACCUGAGCCCGGUGGGAUGUGUGGUCCGCAGGUGGGGUUCUUCUUGCUACUGCAAGCGUAUUUGGCCGUGAAAGCGAAAUGUGCACGGGUAGGAAAUGGCCUCAGAGCAAGGCCCACAUCGAAGGAUUUGUCAUGGCCCCUUCUGCAGACGCAGUUCUGAAGGAAUGGGAACUGAUUUGUAAUCACACCAUGCAAUUAACAGAGUGCAUCAGGGACCACAUGCUUCAGCAGAACCACAGUGUCAGUUACUGUGCGCGGUCCCUGGCUGCUUACAUUAGAAUAGGGCAGUGAGAUGCCUGCCACUUCUGCAGGGAGCUUCCAGAUAGGCGUGUGCGUCCCAGCGAGAGGAAGUCCUCGGGGCCCAGCCCCACAGCACCUGUCCCUACCUGGCCCCUCCAGGUCAGUGGUGUGCAGCUGUAGGGUUAGGGCAGCAGAGGUGUUUGGGGCCAGCCAGGAGGGGGCUGCUUAAUGCACAGGUCUUCGGCCGAGCGCAGUGGCUCACGCCUGUAAUCCCAGCACUUUGGGAGGCCGAGGCGGGCGAAUCACGAAGUCAGGAGAUCGAGACCAUCCUGGGUAAUAUGGUGAAACCCCGUCUCUACAGAAAAUACAAAAAAUUAGCCAGGCGAGGUGGCAGGCGCCUAUAGUCGCAGCUACUCUGGAGGCUGAGACAGGAUAAUGGUGUGAACCUGGGAGGCGGAGCUGGCAGUGAGCUGAGAUCGCACCACUGCACUCCAGCCCGGGCGAUAGAGCGAGACUCCGACUCAAAAAAAUAAAUAAAAUAAAAUAAAGAUGCACAGGUCUUCAUAUCCCAGGAAAGGUGAAGCUGGGAGGCAGAGGACAUACCCCAGCCUGUCAGAACCCAGUGUGCCCUGAGGGCCUGUGAGGAGGGCCUUGCCAGCGUGGGGGUCAGUGGAUCUGAGUGCAGCUCCCUCCUGUCUCCUCCCAAUACCAUAUAAUAUUGUCAGCUCUGGUAUUCUUGGUCCAGCACAGCUUCUUCAUGUUUUUCACCUUUGUGAUGUAAGAAUCCAGCUCCGUGCAGAACCCGAGCAUAGGCACGGAAGUGUGCCCGAGGGGAGGCCUGGAGCCUGUGUCUCUUCUGCGAAGCUGCACCCACCUCGUCUGUCUGGGGGUGGCAGCCCCAAAUCAGCUGAUGGAGUUCACGCACCCCUGUGCAGACGCAGCCUCCCCCAGGGCCUUUGGCUGCCGUACACCCUCAGGCUUGGUCCCUCUCAGCAGCCACUGAAUCAGACAGCUGCCCCAAGACCUGACUUGCACUGUACUCCUGCUGAAGUGACCCGUCUCAAGAUAUCUGGACGCAGGUGCACACCUGGCCUCACUUGUCCCUUGCACGUAUGCCGUAUGUCUGACUUUGUCUGUCUGUCCUGCGCACACCUGACCUCACCUGUCCAUCCUGUGCACACCUGACCUCACCUGUGUGUCCUGCACACACCUGACCUCACCUGUCCUUGCCACACACACCUGACUUCGCCUGUCUGUCCUGCACACACCUGACCUCACCUGUCCUGCGCACACCUGACUUCACCUGUCUGUCCUGCACACACCUGACCUCACCUGUCUGUCCUGCACACACCUGACCUCACCUGUCCUUGCCACACACACCUGACUUCGCCUGUCCGUCCUGCACACACCUGACCUCACCUGUCCAUCCUGCGCACACCUGACUUCGCCUGUCCAUCCUGCACACACCUGGCCUCACCUGUCUUUCCUGCGCACACCUGACCUCACCUGUCCCUGACACACACAGCUGACUUCGCCUGUCUGUCCUGCGCACACCUGGCCUCACCUGUCCAUCCUGCUCACACCUGGCCUCACCUGUCUGUCCUGCGCACACCUGGCCUCAUCUGUCCGUCCUGCACACAUGGGUUGGGCGGGGACAGGCUCCAUCUUCCUCUGUGCUUUCAUCACCCUCAUUUUUGGAAAGUCACACGUUUUGCUUUCAUUCUAAUUUACAUUCUCACUUUUUCAGUCUUUCCUUAUGCAGUUUCUGGCGUUUCCUUCAUUUCCCCAGAUUCUUUCAAAUCCUGAUUCUCUUCUCUGAGGAGUCUGUGCCGUCCCCUUCAGGGCAGUGUGGUCGGCGGGUUCAACACUCAUGCUUCCCUGUCCUUUGGCCUCCAAGUUGUUAAAACAGUCAAUCACUUCUAGCUCAGGGUAGCUCAUUCUUAGCCCCAUAGGGUCCACCACAGCAUGUGUCCCCUUGGGCUGACAUUGGGCUAUGGAUAAAGCUUCUUUUUAAAUUAAAAUGAAAAAAUUCAAUUUCUUUCCCAAAAAGGCUUAGUUAGCUUCUAUGGCUACAAGACCAGGAAAUGCACAGCUAGGUGAGGAGACAAGGCCAGUUCUUCCCUGAGCCCUGCCUAGACUGUGGCACGUCAGCCUCACGGGGCCACCCGCUGCCAUCAGCCCGAGUCCUCCUGCCUUCGCAAAUUUUAGCUCACGUCCAUGCAGUGCCGGCUCUGUGCCAGGCACAGGCCCGAGGGCCACAUCUUCGCUAAGUCACCAGCUCAGUGCGAGGCAUGGGCCUAAGAGCCGCGUCUUUGCUAAGUCAUGUCCCUGGCACAGCCGCCCCACACGGCACGUACGCCGACAUCCCUUAUCUAGGAGGUGGAGAAACGGGCAGGGAGACUAAAUACCUCAGACCAAGGCAGCCUCCGUCUGCCGAGGCCUCUCCUCAUGGCGAAUUUCCUCCUCCCGCUUCCUUCACUCAUUCACCGAGCCACCAUGCGCCCUGCUGUGUAUACUGAGGCGUCAUAUUCAGUCUCUUCUUGUAAGAACCGUAACCGCUGUCAUCAUUUUUAACCAGGUCCCUGGAAGUCUUUGUCACAUAGAGUUGGGAAAACUCAGUCCAGGCCCUGAAAGAGUUUACUUUCUAACUGGCAGGGACCCCGCACUUAACGUCAGGAGCCCCCAGUGCCGUGAGUGACUGAGGCUGGCAUGGCAACCGUGCCUGGGAGAAGGGAGGUUGUGCAGGGGCUGACAGAGAGUGGCCAACAACCCCAUUUCCCUGCUUGGUGGGGGUCUGCUGAUUUCGGGGUGUCCUCCCUUCCCUCCCCUCCUGCUCGGUGGGGGCCUGCUGAUUUGGGGUGCCUUCCCUUCCCUCCCCUCCUGCUCGGUGGGGGCCUGAUUUUGGGGUGCCCUCCCUUCCCUCCCCUCCUGCUCGGUGGGGGCCUGCUCUUUUGGGGGUGCUCUCUUCAAUUCUCUUCUGAGCCCGGCUCCAUCCCAGCAUCUGCACCCUGGUCAGGAGAUGCCUGCUCUGCCCACUGCUGUGUCCUUGGGGCAGGGGCUGCCUGUUCUGGGUCUCAUUCUCUUUUAUGUCCCAGCCAAGCCGCUGGUUUGUAACAGUAGUUCAAUAAACACUUUCAAAUGAACAUACAUAGGAAUCCUGAAAAGAGUACUCGAAUGUGCAAAAGGGUGUCUCUCAGCACUUCAGGCAGCAAAGCGCUUUGCAGAGACAUGAACGCGAGUGUUUGCUGUGCGUGUGGGGCUGCUGGCACCGACGGGAGCUCAGGCUUUGUUACUUCCUGCACCGCAAAUUACCUGCACCUGGUUAACGGAAGCAGCCGUCUCCAGAAAUUAUGAAAUAAAUCGCAGGUUACUUCAGAAGCAUUUCAGUCACCAUUGAGUUGAACUAAGGAGACUUUGGAAAAGCACAAAUUCGUGCAUAAAACUCACCCCUCCAGUUGCCAGAGAUGCUCAGCUGCACAAAAGACUUGUGAUAAGCGAGGCUUUUUUCUGAGAAAGUGUGCGGGCCUUUUGCAUCUCACCUGGUUACAAAGCGACGUGAAUUAAAGUCCACAUGAAGGAUCAGCAUGAACACCCGACCACAUCUUACUCCAAAUUGCUUCUGAAAUUAAAAGUUCGCCGAGGUGUCAUGUUCACUGGGGACUCUCUGUAGCACUGAGCUACUUUGAAAAAUUCUUUAAUUACACGCUUGCGAAAGUCAUGACUAUUGGUAUUAACUGGGACACAGGGAUAGCUAUUUCGAAAAAAGUGACAUUGAACUCACAAUACCUUAUCUUAUUAAAUUCCAUGGAGACUAAAAGUUUAAACUUAAGAAAAUAAAGCCAUAAGAAUUGCAAAA